CUGAUUGGCUGUGCCAGUCCCGUGACCUCUGCUCCUAAAUCAAGACUGGAGUAAUGAACAGAGGCAAAACCGGGGAUCGGCACAGGAACAGAGGGUCAGAAUUCAAAACAAGUACAUCCUAAACAUGUUCUGAACUUGACAAGCCCUGACCAACCUGAGAUGCUGGUGAUGGGGGCAAUAUGUGCUCCUCCUGACCGUGUCAGGAUAAACCCCUGUAAGAAGACAACCAAACAUCAGACACGACUGUACACAAUGACUUUUGGUGUACAGGAACUUUAUGGAGAAAAGAGAAGAAAACUAUUUCAGUUCACCACUCUGCGAUGCUGGAAGAUCAGAAGUCCUGUAAGGUGCGGAGAGCAGGGCAGGCAAACAGCGGGCCGGGUCCCGGAAUAGAAUAAACAAGGAAUGGGCAAAAAAGCACGGACCUCCAGCUGCUCCACUUUAGAGGUGAAAAGUACGUAAAAAGUACGGGCACAUGACUUACGAGAUUGGUUGCAGUUUGAAGAACUUUUCUUGACACAGUCUUGUCAGGCACAUUUCUUGAA